AGAGUUUGAUCAUGGCUCAGAUUGAACGCUGGCGGCAUGCCUUACACAUGCAAGUCGAACGGCAGCGCGGGCUUCGGCCUGGCGGCGAGUGGCGAACGGGUGAGUAAUAUAUCGGAACGUGCCCUGGAGUGGGGGAUAACUAGUCGAAAGACUAGCUAAUACCGCAUACGAUCUAUGGAUGAAAGUGGGGGAUCGCAAGACCUCAUGCUCCUGGAGCGGCCGAUAUCUGAUUAGCUAGUUGGUGGGGUAAAAGCCUACCAAGGCCACGAUCAGUAGCUGGUCUGAGAGGACGACCAGCCACACUGGGACUGAGACACGGCCCAGACUCCUACGGGAGGCAGCGGUGGGGAAUUUUGGACAAUGGGGGCAACCCUGAUCCAGCAAUGCCGCGUGUGUGAAGAAGGCCUUCGGGUUGUAAAGCACUUUUGUCCGGAAAGAAAUCGCCCUGGCUAAUAUCUGGAGCGGAUGACGGUACCGGAAGGAUAAGCACCGGCUAACUACGUGCCAGCAGCCGCGGUAAUAC
rnacentral:rRNA from 1 species